rnacentral:rRNA from 1 species
UACUACCGAUAACCGUUUGAGAGAAGGGAUGACACAGUAGGAUAAGCUAAGCACACUGUUGGUUAUGUGUGCCCAAGCAUUGAGGCAGUCAAAGUAGGCAAAUCCGCUUUGAUAAUACUGGGAUGUGAUGGGGAGCGAAAUUUAGUAGCGAAGUAGCUGAUUUCACACUGUCAAGAAAAGUCUCUAUCGAGGUUAAAGGUACCCGUACCGCAAACCGACACAGGUGGGUGAGGAGAGUAUCCUAAGGCCAGCGAGAGAACUG